UACGUAGGUGGCAAGCGUUGUCCGGAUUUAUUGGGCGUAAAGGGAGCGCAGGCGGUGACUUAAGUCUGAUGUGAAAGCCCACGGCUCAACCGUGGAAGGUCAUUGGAAACUGGGUCACUUGAAUAUAGAAGAGGAAAGUGGAAUUCCAUGUGUAGCGGUGAAAUGCGUAGAUAUAUGGAGGAACACCAGUUGCGAAGGCGACUUUCUGGUCUAUUAUUGACGCUGAGGCUCGAAAGCAUGGGUAGCAAACAGGAUUAGAUACCCG
rnacentral:rRNA from 1 species